rnacentral:rRNA from 1 species
GAUGAACGCUGGCGGCGUGCCUAAUACAUGCAAGUCGAACGCAUUGUGGUUGAAAUGAUAUGAAGAACUUGUUCAGAUUUGAUUUUCAACAUUGCAAUGAGUGGCGAACGGGUGAGUAACACGUGGGAAACCUACCUCUUAGCAGGGGAUAACAUUUGGAAACAAAUGCUAAUACCGUAUAAUAAUUAAAACCGCAUGGUUUUAGUUUAAAAGAUGGUCUUGCUAUCACUAAGAGAUGGUCCCGCGGUGUAUUAGUUAGUUGGUGAGGUAAUGGCUCACCAAGACAAUGAUACAUAGCCGAGUUGAGAAACUGACCGGCCACAAUGGGACUGAGACACGGCCCAUACUCCUACGGGAGGCAGCAGUAGGGAAUCUUCCACAAUGGACGAAGGUCUGAUGGAGCAACGCCGACGUGUGUGAUGAAGGGUUUCGGCUCGUAAAACACUGUUGUAAGAGAAGAAUGACAUUGAGAGUAACUGUUCAAUGUGUGACGGUAUCGUU